AGGCAAUUUAAAUAAAUUAAGUUUUUUGGUAUAAUCAAUCCCUAAGACUUUGCGUCGUAAGGCAGCACUUCCCUUGCGAUAGUAACUUCUAGUAAUAAUAAUAAUUUUAUAAUGCAUAUAGCUAUACCGAAUGACAUGGCGUAUGAAAAGAUGGGAAAAGUAGACUGACUACAGAAAAAGUAAUGAAUUGAACUGUACCUGCUUUUGAUGUUUGGGCAGUUUUCUCCAGGUUAAAGCUCGCGAGGUAGUGUUCUUAAUAGAACAAGACUGUUCGUGUGCGUGAACCCGCACAGUUAUAGACGUCGACUGUUUGAAUAAGGCAACAAGUUAAAAAACCUUAAAAAUAAUUGUUGGGAUUUGUAGCUACUAGCGAAUAUAAUAAAAAUUUACCUUAUCCUUGGUAACAAAUGUCAUAACAGAGUUCACCGACACGCUAUCUUUAAAGACACUUGCCAGUUAAGUCAGUUAACUGUCUACGACUUAAAACGCACGUACCUGAUACAGCGAAUUUUUACUCAUGAUUUUCAUGAUAUUCCAUCGGGCUCCAUAUAAAAACGAUGGAAUGCUUGCUUUGUGUACAGUUAUUUAUUAGAAAUAAUGCAAUGUUAUAAUUACAACCUCAUAGAUAUUUGCAUGUUGUCCGUACAAGAUACGAGCACAUGGCGAGAUAUGACACCCAACCCCAUGAAACAUAAGCCAAUGAAUAUCAAGAUUUAAAUAUCUAAUUAUAAUGUUACAUAAUAAACUUUAUUGUCUUUUACAACGACAUUUUAAAGGCUAUAUAUAAGCUUAACUUGCGUCGUCCCAAAGAUGCAUGUGUCCAAAAAACCAAAGAAUCAAAAAAUAAAAAGUCUCUAAAAAUAAAAAAAAUUCAAAAAUAAAAAAAAAAUGUUCCAAAAAUCCUCGUACAAUUUUUGCCGAGUAAGGCUUUUUCUGCAAAAGUGGGUAACAUUUCGUUUGGCCAAUUUCCUGUUGAAUGGUCUUGGUUUUUGUUUUGCUUUAGGUUGCAUAAAUUAGAUCUCAUUUGCCGGGUUUUGAGUGUAUAUAUAAGAGCAGAUAAUCGCUCACACAUUCAAAUCCCUUCAUAUUAUUACACAUGACAGAGCGAUUUCAAACUCUUUCUCCGUGAAAACUAUACGGCCAAGCAUUAUAAGUCACUAGUUUUAAAUAUGCUGCCAUAGAUCCACUAUUAUGAAAACUGAAUGCACUUGCAUCAGACUAAGCGGACCAGCAGGAGACUUCCAAUGCCCAUCCAGAUUUUUUAGUCCAACACGAGUUGUCUUCUGCGAAUUUUCCUGCUGAAACCAGAAGUUGCUUGAAGCUAACGAGUGCGUUAUAUCAUUCUACGAUAGUUGUAGUAGAAUGGUUUUGCUGGA